GUAAUCGCUUUGGCAGCACAUACACUAAAACUGGAAUGGUACAGAUUAGCAUGGUCCCUGUGCAAGGAUGACAUGCAAACCCAUGAACCGUCCCAUAUUUUU
ensembl:snRNA Gm22573 U6 spliceosomal RNA